GGAAUCUUCCGCAAUGGACGAAAGUCUGACGGAGCAACGCCGCGUGAGUGAUGAAGGUUUUCGGAUCGUAAAGCUCUGUUGCCAGGGAAGAACGCUUAGAGGAGUAACUGCCUUUAAGGUGACGGUACCUGAGAAGAAAGCCCCGGCUAACUACGUG
rnacentral:rRNA from 1 species